AAAUCUGAUGCUGGCAGACGUUUUUGUUUUUUUGUAACUAAAGCUUAUCUUUCAACACAAACGCCAACCCCCACCCUGAGUGUCUCUCACUCAUCACUCACUCUCUCUCUCUCUCUCUCUCUCUCUCUAAAAACCUUUCCAGAUCUACAUCAAUGGCCGACGACGACCAGUUCGGCCCCCUGAACCCUCACGAACACAAACCGGCACUCACCCCUCCACCUGAUGAGUCCCCUCUCUCUCCACCCUCCCUCCACCCAUCUCUCUCGGAAAACCUUCCCACGGGCGACCAAAAAUCCCCCUUUUCCCGUACUGCUGAUGACGACAAGAUGAAUCCUUCUCUUUUUUUGGUGGACCCAAAGGCCUCCGGCUCAGACCCCGAAUCCUCCUCCUCCUGCUGAUGACGACAAGGUAAUCCUCUCCCUUCGCUUGUAAAUGUCUCCAGAUGUUCUGUGCUCCCUUUUUAAUGCACCGUUUUUUGCUUGAAAAAUGAACUGAUUUUAAUCCAUGUUACAAAGGUUACAAUAGUCCUUUAUUCCAUUCCAUUCCAUGUAGCUUAUGAAUCCUUCUUAAGAGAAUAAGUUAAAAAAUGGCAAAAUUUUGGAAUAACUGUUGUUUGGCUUGAGUUGCGAAUAGGUUGCUUUGUUUUGCGGUUCUUGGCUCUGCCCACAUUGUGCACGUUGAGGAAUUUGGGGGAAGAAAUAUUCACUACUACUUCUCAAAAGGAAAGAAGAGUGAAUAUUUACUAAUACUUCUCAAAGAAAUGAAUAUCAGUGAAUGAAUAUUCACUACUACUUUUAAUAUUUACUACUAAUACUUCUCAAAAAACCCAGUGAAUAUUCACUACUACUUUUAAAAUGGUUUCACCAGUAUUACUAAAUGGUUUCACCUGUAACAGUGAAUAUUCACUAAUAAUACUUUUCUCCAAAAUUUGACUAAUACUUCUCAAAAAAUUCACAAAUAAAGAAACAAACUUUUCUCUUCUCAAAAAACAGUCACUAAUAUCUCACCACAGUGAAUAUUCACUACUUUUUAAAAUCAUAGGUUUCACCACAGUGAAUAUUCACUACUUGUCAAAACAAAACAGUGACUAAUACUUCUCCCGGAAAAAAGAGUGAAUAUUCACUAAAACGAAUAUUCAGUAAUACUUUUCAAAGUCCUCUAAAGGUAGAUUUUUGUUUGGUUGGCGUGUCAAAGCAGGAUUGCAACUAGAUCUUUCUUGAAUAGUAGAAACAUUUUGUUGGGAAUGGAUGAGCAGGCUUUGGCAUGUCCAUUUUGUCUAUUGGAAGAGGAAACACCAGAGCAUGUCCUGAUAACAUGCCCGUUUUCUAGGCAAAUUUGGUCGGAAAUAGCAGAGUGGUGGAAUAUAGAUUGGGUGAUUCCUUCGAAUCUGCUGGGUUUAUCUUCUUGGUGGUUUUCUUUUCGGUUCAAAAAUCUGAAAAAAUAUUUUUGGGAGUGCUGUUUUUUUGCAACAUUGUGGUCUAUUUAAAUUACAAGGAAUGAUGUUGUCUUCAACAACAAAGCUGCUGCUGAUCUCAACCAAGUGAAUAUUCACUAAUAAUACUUUUCUCCAAAAAAUCAUCAGUAAUACUUCUCAAAAACAGUGAAUAUUCACCAAUAAUACUUUUCUCUAAAAAAACAUCACUAAUACUUCUCAAAAACAGUGAAUAUUCACUAAUAAUACUUUUCUCCAAAAAACAUCAGUAAUACUUCUAAAAAACAGUGAAUAUUCACUAAUACUUCUCACCACAGUGAAUAUUCACUACUUUUUUUAAAACGAUAGGUAUAGGUAUACUUGUCAAAACGAAA